GACGAACGCUGGCGGCGUGCUUCAGACAUGCAAGUCGAGCGGGCGGAGGUCGAACCGCAAGGGGAGGCUGAAGCUAGCGGCGAACGGGUGAGUAACACGUGGGUAAUCUACCCGGAAGACUGGGAUAACGGCCCGAAAGGGCCGCUAAUACCGGAUAAUAUCGCGGUCUCGCAUGAGGCUGCGAAGAAAGGCGAAAGCCACUUUCGGAUGAGCCCGCGACCCAUCAGCUAGUUGGUGAGGUAACGGCUCACCAAGGCGACGACGGGUAGCUGGUCUGAGAGGAUGGUCAGCCGGAUUGGGACUGAGACACGGCCCAGACUCCUACGGGGGCAGCAAUUAGGAAUCUUGCGCAAUGGGGGAAACCCUGACGCAGCGACGCCGCGUGAGCGAUGAAGUCUUUCGGGAUGUAAAGCACUUUUGGAAGGAAUAGGAAGGAAGGUACUUCCAGAAUAAGUCUCGGCUAACUACGUG
rnacentral:rRNA from 1 species